CGUGAAAACUGAUAACUGAUAAGGAUUUUAUUCAUAAGGAAAAUAAUAUUAUUUAUUUUUUUGUUGUUAAUUAUUAUCAUAAAUUCAUAACCCGUGGCCGCGGGACACAGACACGCAGUCGACUCACUCGACUCGCAGUCGUACGGAUUUUGGACUGAAAUUAAUCUCCGCAUUAAAAUAAUACAUAUUUUAUGUGUAUUCUUAUUUAUUACGACUUAGUUGCUUUUGCGCGUGCGUGUGUGUGUGUUUUUAUCUUAUUACUUGUAUAAUUUAAGAUUUUGUACUGCCAUGUAGUUACUAGUUACUAGUUAGUAGUAAGUAAAGUUGUCCUUAACAAACACGGUUCACUGUUCGACACAAUCACGAUGAUGUUGACGUUACGGGGUUAACGUCUGGUUUUAUUUGGUCGUUUGAUUUGAAAACCAAACUGAGAAGAUUGAAUUCAUUGUCUUUGUCCAUUCAUCUCGCUGUGUCUGUAGUGAGAUGACAACGCAUGAAAUCUUUCCCCACAGAUUAUCUGUGUAAAAAGCCUCUGUCAUCAUCAAUAGUUUACGAUGGUGAUAAACGUUUCCGUCACUAAUCUCACAACCAAUGCAGCUUCCACUGCACUAGCGCCAGUCAAGUCUGUGGCAGCUCCACAUCCACCUGUCCAGUUCAGUCCAUUUACUGUUGCGGUCAUUGUUAUUGUUGCUUGUUUAAUGCUAAUUGGUAUAAUAAUUGUAAUUAGAAGAAAGAGAAGACUUGACAGGCUACGGCAUUCAUUAAUACCUUUCUACUCGUUUGAUGCUAACGAAGAAGAAGACUGGGAUUCAGAUCUGUUACAAAAUGAAGGUGGAACUCAAACCAUUCGUCAGCAUGGUCAAACAUUUAGACACGAGGGCAGUUUCCACAGCUGGCAUGAGAGAUUUAGUCCGAUUCAAAGUCAUCUAUUCUCAGUAGAAUCACCUAUAGACUAGAUGAUAUUAUUAAAGUACAAUACAUUCUUCUUCUAGAAGUACGAGUGUAAUAGUCUGACUAUAUAAGCUAUGGAUCGGUCGAACUGAACAUCAUGGCUACAGAAAUGAGAAGUAAAAAAGGAUCAUUCUUGUAAUGAAAACGUAUCUGUUGCUUCUACCAUCUGUGUCAUACAAUUUAAAUAUUAGUUAUUUGUAAAUUGUAUAUUGUCUGGUCAUGGAACAAGUAUAAUUUUGCACAUUUCCAUCCAUCACAAUCCUAUUUUCCAAUCUAAUGACAAUCACCAUGUCACUAAAAAACAACCUUAUUCCAUUAAAAUUGGGACAAUCUGUUCAAACUAUAACCAGAUAAUGUGUGAAAUUAUUUGUGUCUAUAGAAAUUGUAACCUUUAAUGUGGUAUUGUUGUUGAUGUUAUUAGUUAUUUUUAAAAUCUACUUAACUGUAUAUAAGUAUUAAGUAUACUCGUACAUAUUCACCAACCACAAGCUUGAUGCUCAAUAUAUUUACAUAUUUAAGAAUAUUUAUUGUUAUAUAGCUUUUGAUAGCACCUGCUCAUCGUGCUCUCACUAUUUAUUUAUUUUUUUUAUUUGCAUAUUAUGUUUUAUAAUAUUAUAGUUUUGAUAAUAUUUAAGUGUUAUGCCUACUAAAUGUAUACUUGCAUUGUUGAUUCAAAAACUGUGGUCAAUCUUCUGAUAGUAAUAAUCUGACUUUAAAAUUGUAUUGCAGAUAAAAUACACAUGUUUUACCAAUUAAUUUUCAUCAUAUCCCUAAUGUUGUCAACAGAGUGUUUGUUAACAAGUCAAUUGCUGUAAUAUUGUUUUUUUUAUUAUUAUUAUUAUGAAAAUGUAUACUCUUAACAUUAUAAGUCAAAGAUUUAAUAAUUCAAAAAUGAACAAUUCACGUCUGAUUAAAAAUUGUUGUUAGUUAAAUAAAUAUAAGACAGACUGAAUUAGUUUUUAGUCAUUUAUCGUAGGGAGUGGAAUCUGCUAAAUGUUUUUAUAAAAAUAUGUAUUGUGUAUUUGUGUUGAUUAAAAUUCACCGUUAUUUGCUUA